GACGAACGCUGGCGGCGUGCCUAAUACAUGCAAGUCGAACGCAGUGGGGACGGGUGAGUAACACGUGGGUAACCUCCCAUCAGAGGGGAUAACACUUGGAAACAGGUGCUAAACCGAUACUGAUGGAUGGACCCGCGGUGCAUUAGAUAGUUGGUGAGGUAACGGCUCACCAAGGCCACGCGGCAUAGCCGACCUGCGAGGGUGACCGACCACACUGGGAAUUGUCCACGCCCCAUACUCCGACGGGAGGCAGCAGUAGGGAAUCUUCGGCAAUGGACGAAAGUCUGACCGAGCAACGCCGCUUGAGUGAAGAAGGUUUUCGGAUCGUAAAACUCUGUUGUUAGAGAAGCGGUAUCUAACCAGAAAGCCACGGCUAACUACGUGCCAGCAGCCGCGGUAAUUC
rnacentral:rRNA from 1 species